GCCUGUGGGAUAGCUCAGUUUGUAGAGAAUGAGACUCUUAAGCUAAGGGUCGUGGGUUGGAGCCCCACCUUGGGCA